rnacentral:rRNA from 1 species
UCAAUAUAAAUUGAUUUAUAUUAAUUUAUUUAAAUUAAUUAUAUAUAUAUAUAUAUAUAUAUAUAUAUAUAUAUUAAAAAUAAUUAUUUAAUUAAUUGUUUUAUUAUUUUAUAAAUAAAUAAUAUUUUUAUUAAAGUUAAUUAGUAUUGUAAAUUAAAAUUGAAUUAAUUUGAAAUUUAUUAUUAUAAAAGAAAAUUUGAUUUAUUGUACCUUGUGUAUCAGGGUUUAUUAAUUAUUAAUUAUUUAUUUAAAUUUUUCGAUUUUAAAAGAGUUAAUAUAUUAUUAAAUUUAUUGUUAUAAAAUUAUUUUAAAUAGUAUAUUAGAAAUGAAAUGUUAUUCGUUUUUAAAGGUAUCUAAUUUUUUAAGAAUUAAAUUGAAUUUAUUAAUUAUAAAUUAUUAAUUUAAAUAGAUUAAUUUAAUAAUUUUUUAAUUAAAAUAUUUUAUGGGAUAAGCUAUUUAAUAUAUUUUUAAAAUUAUAAUUUAGUUAUACAAAUAUAAAUUUAAAAAUAGUUAUUAUUAAAAAAAAUGUUAUAAAUUAUUUUGUUAAUAAUAUUAUUUAUUAUAUAAAUUAAAUAUUUAUUAAAAUAUUUAUUUUAAUUUUAAUAUUAAAUAUUUUAUAAUUUAAUUAGUAUAUAAUAAUUUAAUUAAUAAGGAAAUUACUUAAAGGUUUUAAUAAAGAAUUCGGCAAUAAAAAUAUUCGCCUGUUUAACAAAAACAUGUCUUUAUGAUUAUUUUUAUUAAGUCUGACCUGCCCACUGAAAUUAUUUAAAUGGCCGCAGUAUAUUAACUGUGCAAAGGUAGCAUAAUCAUUAGUUUUUUAAUUGAAAGCUGGAAUGAAUGGUCGAACGAAAUAUUAACUGUUUCAUUAAAAUUUUUAUUAGAAAUUUAUUUUUUAGUUAAAAAGCUUAAAUAAAUUUAAAAGACGAGAAGACCCUAUAAAUCUUUAUAUUUAAAUUUAUAUAAAUUAUUUAAUUUUUUUUAUUUUAUAUUAAUUAUAAUAUUUUGUUGGGGUGAUAUUAAAAUUUAAAAAACUUUUAAUUUUUUUUUCAUUAAUUAAUGAAUUUAUGAUCUAUUAUUAAUUAUUAAAAAAUUAAGUUACUUUAGGGAUAACAGCGUAAUUUUUUUGGAGAGUUCUUAUCGAUAAAAUAGAUUGCGACCUCGAUGUUGGAUUAAGAAAAUUUUUGGGUGUAGUUGUUUAAAUUUUAAGUCUGUUCGACUUUUAAAUUCUUACAUGAUCUGAGUUCAAACCGGUG